CAGAGAAGAGCUUUGAGAGCACCGAUGUUUUGCUAUGCCUCUCAACUGAAGCUACCUUCUUCCUCCUCCACCGAAGCCAACAACGUCGUUCGUGUAGCCGCCGUCGAAGCUCUGCUUGUUCGCUCACCUCAGCUGUGAUUUUUUUCAAGUUCCUGCUGUUCGUCUGUCCCCUCUGCUGCUGAUUCAAGAAUGAAAAGUUUUUCUUUCUCUUAGCUCCUGGUUCGCGUGGGUAUAAAAGAUUUGGUUUUCUUCACUGUUCAUCAUCGUUCUCUUUCCUCUGUUCGUGCGUGUUGAUUCAUUAGAGGGUGUGUGGAAGAACAAGACCCUGAAAAACUUAAAAGAAGAAUACUUUCGAGAGUUAGAACUUCAACAGAUUGGUUAGCUGACGCCGAUUCUACCAGCGACCUCAAAAAAGGGCAACUAGCUACAGUGGGUGGAUAUUUUGAUUGGUAUUAUUGUCUUUAUGUAAAUAUAUAAUUUGUAUGUCCUUUUGAUUUAAGAGAAAGAAUAGAUGCUCCACAUAGGUUGUUAAUAAACUUUAUUUUUUUUAUCUGUAUAUGGGUUGUUGGCUGGAAGGAGCUACGCUCCUAAUUUAUACUGUUAUCUGUCAAAAUUUUGUUGUAGAAUUUUCGGGAGAUCUUUGUUACAGGGAAGUUCUGCCGAAAUUUCUACAAAAAUAUCGACACUCUUUUAUGAUAUUGAUCUAAUAAGUUAUUUUAA